GAACUACUCCCUUCGUCCGGAAAUACUUGUCAGAGAAAUGCAUGCAAAUGAAUGUAUCUAGAACUAAAAUACAUCUAGAUACAUCCAUUCCUCCGACGAGUAUUUCCGGACGGAGGGAGUACUAC
rfam:Triticum aestivum genome assembly, contig: Triticum_aestivum_CS42_TGACv1_scaffold_249093_3DL